UACGUAGGGUGCAAGCGUUGUCCGGAAUUAUUGGGCGUAAAGAGCUCGUAGGCGGUUUGUCGCGUCUGCUGUGAAAACGCGAGGCUCAACCUCGCGCCUGCAGUGGGUACGGGCAGACUAGAGUGUGGUAGGGAGAUUGGAAUUCCGUGGUGUAGCGUGGAAUGCGCAGGAUAUCAGGAGGAACACCGGUGGCGAAAGCGGCGCGCUGGACCUCUCUGACGCUGAGGCGCGAAAGCCAGGGGAGCAA
rnacentral:rRNA from 1 species